AAUACUACGGAAACUGGGCCAACAGGAGUUUAUUUUCUGUCCCAUGGCCUUUCACCAUUUCUAAUCUUUUGGCAACACACAUUGUUCCAACAUGUCUGGGCAUGUUUGGGAGACUGGCUUUGUUUCAAACCAAGCUCUCCAUGGAUUCCUGAUAAUUCAACGGUGGGAGAGGGUGGGAAUUGCCAAGAAAACUGUCGACAUACUUUAAAUUCAAGCUGGAAUCCUCAAUCCACAAAGACAUAUAGACACUGUUAUGAUAACUACAUUUAUUAUAGUUACAUGUCAUCAUAUCUGUUUUUCACUGUAUGCCCACACAUAGGAGUUCUUACAUCUAAAUAAACCUGAUGGAUACCAGGAACAAGUUGAAUUUGUUAAUUCUAUAAUCAUCUUAACUGUUAAGGCAAUCUAGGCUCUAGACAGAGAUCUAGAUUCUUGAGAGAGCAAGAUGCUCUUAAGAUUUUUAUAACUGCUGAUUCUUAAUAAUUUUAAAUGUUAUAUAUAUAAAAGCCUUAGUGCCUUACUAAAUAUAUCCCAUUGUUAUGAAAGAGAAAAUGCCAUUAU
rnacentral:lncRNA from 1 species